rnacentral:rRNA from 1 species
AGGGAAUCUUCCGCAAUGGGCGAAAGCCUGACGGAGCAACGCCGCGUGAGUGAUGAAGGUCUUCGGAUCGUAAAACUCUGUUAUUAGGGAAGAACAAAUGUGUAAGUAACUAUGCACGUCUUGACGGUACCUAAUCAGAAAGCCACGGCUAACUACGUGCCAGCAGCCGCGGUAAUACGUAGGUGGCAAGCGUUAUCCGGAAUUAUUGGGCGUAAAGCGCGCGUAGGCGGUUUUUUAAGUCUGAUGUGAAAGCCCACGGCUCAACCGUGGAGGGUCAUUGGAAACUGGAAAACUUGAGUGCAGAAGAGGAAAGUGGAAUUCCAUGUGUAGCGGUGAAAUGCGCAGAGAUAUGGAGGAACACCAGUGGCGAAGGCGACUUUCUGGUCUGUAACUGACGCUGAUGUGCGAAAGCGUGGGGAUCAAACAGGAUUAGAUACCCUGGUAGUCCACGCCGUAAACGAUGAGUGCUAAGUGUUAAGGGGUUUCCGCCCCUUAGUGCUGCAGCUAACGCAUUAAGCACUCCGCCUGGGGAGUACGACCGCAAGGUUG